GAUGAACGCUGGCGGCGUGCCUAAUACAUGCAAGUCGAGCGAACAGACGAGGAGCUUGCUCCUCUGACGUUAGCGGCAGACGGGUGAGUAACACGUGGAUAACCUACCUAUAAGACUGGGAUAACUUCGGGAAACCGGAGCUAAUACCGGAUAAUAUAUUGAACCGCAUGGUUCAAUAGUGAAAGACGGUUUUGCUGUCACUUAUAGAUGGAUCCGCGCCGCAUUAGCUAGUUGGUAAGGUAACGGCUUACAAAGGCAACGAUCCGUAGACGAACUGAAAGGGUCGUAGGCCACGCGGGGACUGAGACACGGUCCAGAAUCCUACGGAAGGCAGCAGUAGGGAAUCUUCCGCAAUGGGCGAAAGCCUGACGGAGCAACGCCGCGUGAGUGAUGAAGGUCUUCGGAUCGUAAAACUCUGUUAUUAGGGAAGAACAAAUGUGUAAGUAACUAUGCACGUCUUGACGGUACCUAAUCAGAAAGCCACGGCUAACUACGUG
rnacentral:rRNA from 1 species